CUCAACUGGGAGGGGUCAGGGGAAACUACUGGGCUUGAGGGCAGCAGAGGAAAGCGGAAUUCCCGGUGUAGUGGUGAAAUGCGUAGAUAUCGGGAGGAACACCAGUGGCGAAGGCGGCUUUCUGGGCUGUUUCUGACGCUGAGGCGCAAAAGCGUGGGGAGCGAACCGGAUUAGAUACCCGGGUAGUCCACGCUGUAAACGAUGGGCACUAGGUAUGGGGGGUAUCGACCCCCUCCGUGCCGCAGCUAACGCGUUAAGUGCCCCGCCUGGGGACUACGGCCGCAAGGCUAAAACUCAAAAGAAUUGACGGGGGCCCGCACAAGCAGCGGAGCGUGUGGUUUAAUUCGAUGCUAAGCGAAGAACCUUACCUGGGUUUGACAUGCUGGUAGUAGAAACCCGAAAGGGGGACGACGGGUUCAGUCCCGAGCC
rnacentral:rRNA from 1 species